rnacentral:rRNA from 1 species
AUGACCCCGGUUGAGGUUGUCGGCGAUCCAGCUCGUCCCUCCGCCCCUCCUCGUCGCGCCGUCGAUGGCCGAGAUGAGGAAGCUGCUGAUGAAGCUGCCGACGCCGAGGACGCUGAGGUAGAGCGCGAGCCCGAGGCUCUUGAGCUCCACGGGCAUCUGGUCGUAGAAGAACUCCUGCAUGCCGACCAUGGCGAACACGUCCGCCGCGCCCAGGAGCACGUACUGCGGCACGAUCCACCACAGGCUCAUGGGCACCACCUCGCCGGGCUGAUCGACCACGCCGGCGUCCCUGGCCGCGCCGAGCCGCCUCAUCUCCACCAGCGCGGCGGCCACGAGCGCGGAGAGGGCGAGGGCCAUGCCCGUGCCGAUCCGCUGGAGCAUGGUGAUGCCCGAGGCCACGCCGGUGAUCCUGCGCGCCACGGGCACCAGGACGCGGUCGUACAGCACGAUGCACGUGAUGACGCUGACGCCCAAGAAGCACUGGACCGCCGCGGGCGGCACCUCCAACGACGACGACCCGAUCCUCCGGUCGAGCGUCGCCGCCUGCUUCGUGAACAGCGUCGGCGGCUGCGCGAACACCACGCCGUAGAGCAGACACGUCGCCCAUAUCGGGAACAGCCUCGCCAGGCCCCGCACCUCCUCCAUGAGCACGGCGUCCUCUGCGCAGUCACCCUCUGGCGACCUCUUGCGCCAUGCCUUCAUGGCCUUGCCGACGCGCGAGAACGCGCUGUCGCCCUCGCCGCCACCGGAGUCGUAGAACCGGUACGUCCUGGUGCCGAGCAGGAAGACGAGGAGCGCGAGCAGCAUGAUCACGCACGGCACGCCGAAGCCAAGGCCCCAGCUGACGUUGUCCUGGACGUAGCUCAUGAUGGCGACGGUCACGGUGGCGCUCCCGCAGACCCCGAAGUACCACCAGUUGAAGAAGGAGCCUCGCGACGACGACUCGCCGGGGUCCGUCACGUCGAACUGGUCGGCGCCGAAGGCCUGCACGCAGGGCUUGUGGCCGCUCUGCGCGAUGGCCACCAGGUAGAGCGAGACGUAGAAGAAGGCCGUCUGCAGGGAGGAAGGCGGGCAUUCUCGCCGGCCGUCGCCGGAGACGUUGCAGUGCUGGCUCUUGGGCGACGGGAACAUGGACGAGAGCGUCAGCAUGCCCAGGCCCUGCAGAAGUGCAAGAUUGUCAGUUCGCAUUUGUGA